GACGUAGGGCGCGAGCGUUGUCCGGAUUUAUUGGGCGUAAAGAGCUCGUAGGCGGCUUGUCGCGUCGUCCGUGAAAACCUGCGGCUCAACCGUGUGGUCUGCAGUCGAUACGGGCAGGCUGGAGUUCGGUAGGGGAGACUGGAAUUCCUGGUGUAGCAGUGAAAUGCGCAGAUAUCAGGAGGAACACCGGUGGCGAAGGCGGGUCUCUGGGCCGAUACUGACGCUGAGUGAGCGAAAGCCAGGGGAGCAAACGGG
rnacentral:rRNA from 1 species